rnacentral:rRNA from 1 species
AUUGAACGCUGGCGGUAGGCCUAACACAUGCAAGUCGAACGCGAAAGUCCUUCGGGAGUGAGUAGAGUGGCGGACGGGUGAGUAACGCGUAGGAAUCUAUCCUGUAGUGGGGGAUAACGUUUCGAAAGGAACGCUAAUACCGCAUACGCCCCAACGGGGAAAGCGGGGAGUCUUCGGACCUCGUGCUAUAGGAGGAGCCUGCGUCGGAUUAGCUAGUUGGUGAGGUAAAGGCUCACCAAGGCGACGAUCCGUAGCUGGUCUGAGAGGAUGAUCAGCCACACCGGAACUGAGACACGGUCCGGACUCCUACGGGAGGCAGCAGUGGGGAAUAUUGCGCAAUGGGCGAAAGCCUGACGCAGCCAUACCGCGUGUGUGAAG